rnacentral:miRNA from 1 species
ACCAGACUUUUCCUAGUCCCUGAGACCCUAACUUGUGAGGUAUUUUAGUAACAUCACAAGUCAGGCUCUUGGGACCUAGGCGGAGGGG